rnacentral:rRNA from 1 species
CCUACGGGAGGCAGCAGUAGGGAAUCUUCCACAAUGGACGAAAGUCUGAUGGAGCAACGCCGCGUGAGUGACGAAGGGUUUCGGCUCGUAAAGCUCUGUUGGUAGUGAAGAAAGAUAGAGGUAGUAACUGGCCUUUCUUUGACAGUAAUUACUUAGAAAGUCACGGCUAACUACGUGCCAGCAGCCGCGGUAAUACGUAGGGGGCAAGCGUUGUCCGGAUUUAUUGUGCGUAAAGCGAGUGCAGGCGGUUCAAUAAGUCUGAUGUGAAAGCCUUAGGCUCAACCGGAGAAUUGCAUCAGAAACUGUUGAACUUGAGUGCAGAAGAGGAGAGUGGAACUCCAUGUGUAGCGGUGGAAUGCGUAGAUAUAUGGAAGAACACCAGUGGCGAAGGCGGCUCUCUGGUCUGCAACUGACGCUGAGGCUCGAAAGUAUGGGUAGCGAACAGGAUUAGAUACCCUUGUAGUC